GGUGUGUACUGGUCUUGAUGGAAGCUUACCUCUUGGUGGGUCGGCAUGCCCUUCGUUGGGUGUGUCGAUUAACCAGGACUUUUACUUUGAGAAAAUUAGAGUGUUCAAAGCAGGCUUUCGCCCGAAUACAUUAGCAUGGAAUAAUAGAAUAGGACGCGCGUCUUUAUUUUGUUGGUUUCUAAAUUCGCCGUAAUGAUUAAUAGGGAUAGUCGGGGGCAUUCGUAUUGCUUGGUCAGAGGUGAAAUUCUUGGAUUCUAGCAAGACGAACUACUGCGAAAGCAUUUGCCAAGGAUGUUUUCAUUGAUCAAGAACGAAGGUUAGGGGAUCGAAAACGAUCAGAUACCGUUGUAGUCUUAACAGUAAACUAUGCCGACUAGGGAUCGGACAAGCACAAUCUAUGACUUGUUCGGCACCUGAAGAGAAAUCUUUAAGUCUAGGUUCGGGGGGGAGUAUGGUCGCAAGGCUGAAACUUAAAGGAAUUGACGGAAGGGCACCACCAGGUGUGGAGCCUGCGGCUUAAUUUGACUCAACACGGGGAAACUCACCAGGUCCAGACACAAUAAGGAUUGACAGAUUGAUAGCUCUUUCUUGAUCUUGUGGUUGGUGGUGCAUGGCCGUUCUUAGUUGGUGGAGUGAUUUGUCUGGUUAAUUCCGAUAACGAACGAGACCUUAACCUGCUAAAUAGGCCCGGGGCCUUAGGGAACCGGCUGUCUUCUUAGAGGGACUGUAGG
rnacentral:rRNA from 1 species